rnacentral:rRNA from 1 species
UACGUAGGGUGCAAGCGUUGUCCGGAAUUAUUGGGCGUAAAGAGCUCGUAGGCGGUUUGUCGCGUCUGCUGUGAAAACUCGGGGCUUAACCCCGGGCCUGCAGUGGGUACGGGCAGACUAGAGUGCGGUAGGGGAGACUGGAAUUCCUGGUGUAGCGGUGAAAUGCGUAGAUAUCGGGAGGAACACCGGUGGCGAAGGCGACCAUCUGGACGGAUACUGACGCUGAGACGCGAAAGCGUGGGGAGCAAACAGG